rnacentral:rRNA from 1 species
GAUGAACGCUAGCGAUAGGCUUAACACAUGCAAGUCGAGGGGUAACGUGUUGGAAGCUUGCUUCCGAUGACGACGACCGGCGGAUGGGUGCGUAACGCGUAUGCAACUUGCCUCACAGUGGAGAAUAACCCGGAGAAAUCCGGACUAAUACUCCAUACACUCUUAAGUACGCCUGUACAUGAGAGGAAAGAUUUAUCGCUGUGAGAUAGGCAUGCGUCCUAUUAGGUAGUUGGUGAGGUAACGGCUCACCAAGCCGACGAUAGGUAGGGGUGCUGAGAGGCAGAUCCCCCACAUUGGGACUGAGACACGGCCCAAACUCCUACGGGAGGCAGCAGUGAGGAAUAUUGGUCAAUGGAGGAAACUCUGAACCAGCCAAGUCGCGUGAAGGAAGAAUGUCCUAAGGAUUGUAAACUUCUUUAGCGAGCGAGUAAGGACUUCCACGUGAUGGGAGCUUGAAAGUAGCUCGAGAAUAAGUAUCGGCUAACUCCGUG